rnacentral:rRNA from 1 species
UACGUAGGUGGCUAGCGUUGUCCGGAUUUACUGGGCGUAAAGAGCGCGUAGGCGGAUCGUUAAGUCGGGGGUGAAAUCCUGGAGCUCAACUCCAGAACUGCCUUUGGUACUGGCGAUCUUGAGUCCGGGAGAGGUGAGUGGAACUCCGAGUGUAGAGGUGAAAUUCGUAGAUAUUCGGAAGAACACCAGUGGCGAAGGCGGCUCACUGGCCCGGUACUGACGCUGAGGUGCGAAAGCGUGGGGAGCAAACAGG